rnacentral:misc_RNA from 1 species
GAUGAAGAACGUAGCGAAAUGCGAAAAGUAAUGCGAAUUGCAGAAUUCAGCGAGUCAUCGAGUUUUUGAACGCACAUUGCGCCCCCUGGUAUUCCGGGGGGCAUGCCUGUCCGAGCGUCAUUACAACCCUCAAGCUCAGCUUGGUGUUGGGCCCCGCCGCCCCGGCGGGCCCUAAAGUCAGUGGCGGUGCCGUCCGGCUCCGAGCGUAGUAAUUCUUCUCGCUCUGGAGGUCCGGUCGUGUGCUCGCCAGCAACCCCCAAUUUUUUUCAGGUUGACCUCGGAUCAGGUAGGGAUACCCGCUGAACUUAAGCAUAUCAAUAAGCGGAGGA